rnacentral:lncRNA from 1 species
AUUAACUCCUUCAGCAAGCAUUUACCAGACAUAUCUUACAGAUUGGGUUCUUAUGUGAUAAUAUUAAGUUUACAAAAAUAUGCUGGAUGUGAAUCUAUUUUAUUUCCAGUUAGCAUCAUUAUUUGUGAGAGAAUAACUCAUAACCCACUUUCCCUUUCCCCCUUAUAGCCUAAAAGAGCAAAAUAAGGAACGCUUCAUUUUUUCCUUUCCUUAUCUCUGUAUACCUCUCUCUAUAUAUCCAUAAUUUCUAUGAGAAAGGUCAGAAAGUAAUAGUGUAGAAUUCCUAGGAAAAAAAGGUAUUUUCCUGACUCCAUUCAAAAAAAUUUUGAAAUGCCAAGAGCCACUAUGAAUAAACUAUAGUAUUUGAAUCAUUUAUCUUUGAUUAGAUACAUUAAUCUUAAAUAUGGCACUUACCUAUUUGUUAAGUAUAUUUGGCUUCUAAAAUAAUAAGAAAAUUAAAUCCAAGUUUAAUGGACUUUGAAUAGUAAGUUCACCCUUGAACAUACAAAUGCUUCUGACACAAAAAUUAGUCAUUUUUCUUCUUUGUAAAAUAUAUUUAAAAAUAUGCAAAAUAAAAGGUUAAGUCCUAUACCCAAUAUUAUUUUCUUCUUUAUAUGAGUACAAAUAGAUGUUCUGAGACAUGCUUAUAAUUUCUAUGUAAUGACAAAAUACUGUUGUGGAGCCAUUAGCUAUAUUCUGAGUGCCUUUCUCAAUGGAGAAUAUUUUGCCAAAAUGAUAUUCAUGAAAAGUGUAAGCUACAGAAUAGGCCACAUUUUAUCAAAUGGUAUACCAUUCAAGAUACAAAUCAAAUGCUAUCUCUAUCACAAAGCCACUUCUGUUUCCCUCCCUAUCCAGCUGUUCUCUCAUGCUUUCUCUCUCUUUUCUUGGAAUACCCACCGCAAUUCAUUUUUACAUCUCUUGUGGGUAUUGUGACCUUUUAAUAAUGCAUUGUAAUGGUCUGGAUAAAUGUCUUCUCUUCUAUGAUAGUUUGCUUUAGUAUACAAAGAUUUUAAAUAUUUUUUAUUCUUCAUUAUAGGUACCAGAGUGUCUUGCACAUAUGUUUCUCAAGAAAUGCUCUGGUGCUUCAUUUUUUUGUUGUUGAUGAUUUAGACCUCUAUAUUACUUCUAUUAUUU